CAUUUCAUCUGAAUGCAGUAGCUCAUUAUACAGUUAUACCACCGACCACACAUCGUCAUAUUUACUUCGACACUCUGAGGGAAAAUUUCGACCAGAAUUUUUCUCGCCUUCGGAAUGAAAGCUCUGGUAAUUAUAAUUUGGUUUACAAUCGCUUCAGUCUUUGGUCAGGACUCAUUUCCUCCGUGCAAAUGGACCUCCAAUCAAUGGACAUCGUUUAAGCAAUGUGUGGGUACUCAAACGAAUGAAGUAAUUGGAAGGUGUAUGCGUCAGCAAAGUGCUGCCAAAGAUUGGAUUACGACAAGGAAUACAAUUUGUGCUAGUCAGAGCAAAAGGGACGCGAUCAAGAACUGUCUGCUCAAAGAUACCAAAACGCAUGCCAGUUUGAUGAGAUGCAACAACAGAAUGAAUGCACAAAGUUCGAACAGAGCUGGUUAAUUUCGAGGUUAAUUUUAAUUUGAAAUUCUCAAAUGUUGAUGAAG